GUGGGGAAUUUUGGACAAUGGGCGCAAGCCUGAUCCAGCAAUGCCGCGUGCAGGAAGAAGGCCUUCGGGUUGUAAACUGCUUUUGUACGGAACGAAACGGUCCGGGUUAAUACCCUGGGCUAAUGACGGUACCGUAAGAAUAAGCACCGGCUAACUACGUGCCAGCAGCCGCGGUAAUACGUAGGGUGCAAGCGUUAAUCGGAAUUAAUGGGCGUAAAGCGUGCGCAGGCGGCUUUGUAAGACAGGCGUGAAAUCCCCGGGCUCAACCUGGGGAUUGAGAGUGUGACUGCAAGGCUGGAGUGCGGCAGAGGGGGAUGGAAUUCAGCGUGUAGCAGUGAAAUGCGUAGAUAUGCGGAGGAACACCGAUGGCGAAGGCAAUCCCCUGGGCCUGCACUGACGCUCAUGCACGAAAGCGUGGGGAGCAAACAGGAUUAGAUACCCUGGUAGUCC
rnacentral:rRNA from 1 species